CCACUUCUUCGGCUUUUGCCGAUAUGACACCGAAAAUUACGAAUUUGAUCAGAUUUAGUCUAUUUUCCGGCGCGGCUUGAAAAAAGAAAGAGAGAAGGGUAUUUUUAAUGGUGGUUGGUGGCUGACGACUCGAUGAUAGCGAAUUCCGGCGAGAAAUUCACCGUUUUCCAGCGGGUAUCCACCAUUUCCGGCGAGGUGGAUGGCGAUUCCAGCGAUGAGUGGUUGAUUUUGCAACAUGGGGGAGGGGGAAGGCGCCAGAGAUGGCACUGUUGUUUUGUCGGCGAGCAGCGGCGGGAAAAGGGGAAGAGGGACGAUGGUUGACGGAGAACGGCGACCGGAUGGAGGCAGCAGUGACGCGAUGGCGUUUUCCGGUAGGUAGGGGUAGUUUGGCCGACGAUUUUUGCGAUUUUUCGACGGAAUAGCCAUCGAAAUAGUGACGGCAGUGGCAGAAAAGAUUGGAUCUGACGAGAAUUGGAGUUUUCCAAUCUUUGUAUUCAAAUUCAAAAACUAGCUCAGAUUACCCAAGUCUACAUAAACAAAUCACCAAUCUAUUCCCAACAAAUGUGAAACUUUUCACCCAGUCUAACAAAAGCACCUACAAUGAUACUCAGUAAGUGAAUCCAAACACUCUUACAACUGCAUCAAGUGUCAAAUGUCAAGGUGUAUUGAGAAGAGAAAUAUGUGGCACUUAAAUUUUUGCUCAAGAUUACAUCAACUACUAAUUAUCGUACAACAACAUUUUGGUAAAAAAAAAAAAAACAUUUUGGUUAAAAAAAAAAAAGCAUGGAACUUUGUAUAUAUACUAACAAAAGAAUAUGAGUGCUAAACUAAUUAGCAAAAUUAACAACAAAGAGGAGCGAAAAAAGAGAGAGGAAGAAGCUCUACCUUGUAAACUAAUAAUACAUAAAUAAAGAAAGCUUUCCUAGAAAAUUUACAUUAAGCCCAUCUAGUUUUGCGUUAAAUAGGAAAUGAAAGAAGGGAAGAUGAAAAGACUACAAUCACUUUUCAUCUGACCAACUUUCUAGAUGAUGGAAUGAAUAAUAAUAAAUAAAACAGAAAAGCGUCAAAAAUAUUCUUGAACUAUGUUAAAUGGAUUAAAAAUGCCUCUCAUUAAUUUCUUGGCUUAAAAAUAUCUCUCCAUUAAAUAUUUAGUUCAAAAAUAUCCUUUUUUCUAAUAAAAUUUCACCAAGCAUGCUACAUGUGUAAAAAAGACCACGUGGACAUGUCACAUGAUCGUCCACAUGUAAAAUUCACUCUUUAUUUGCAACCAUUUGGCUGUGAUUUGUUCUCUGUGGAUCCAUUCGUAAGAAUAAGUGUUUAGAACUAAAUUCUUGCGUCGUAUUUUUAGAAUAAUUCGAUGUGAAAAAUUAUUUUCUCCUUCCUUGGUUAGAAAUAACCUGUAUGAUGACUAUAUUUGGAUGUUAUGCUAUGUUUCACUUUUACCAUCAACAUAUGAGAUGAUCUUCUUUAAUCUGCUUAAUCCAGUUUUAAAUUUCUCCUCAUUUCAUUGAUAACAUACAAUUUUUCGUUGGAAUUGAUUGGACUGAAAAAUUGGACAGUUCUUUUUUCGAUUUUAAUGUGCCGAUUCUGUGUUAUUUAUUCAUUUUAUCUGAUCAAGCUUGUUAAAUUUCUUGUUGCUCUAUGUAAGAGUUGAAGAAAGUUCUCAAUAUGUAUACAAAAUAUAGAGUUGAAAAAAGUUCUCUUUGCAUUUUAUAGGACGGGUAGUUUACAUGAAAUGUACAGUCACUUCACUAUUAAGUACACAGUAACAUGAUAAUAGCUUGUGUUUUUUUAUCAAGUUAUCUGGCAUGAAGCACGGUGACCUGACAGUACUGUACCCAAACGUUGGUAGAUGACGGAUAGCAAGAUGUUCCAUUUUUCCCCUCUUAGGCCAAUAACUUUGGCUUGAAAAACAACAAUUUUGAUUUCUUUAUGGCUGGAUCGAUUUCUUUAUAUAAAUCAAACAUUCACAUGUUCUGGUUGUUGCUGCUACUUUUGAAUUUUCUGUUGUUUAAAAGUUUAGACAAAGAUAACUUCCUUAAUUCCAUCCACCUGCCUCUCCUAGAUUCUUGUUACGUUAUGAUUGUUCCUUCAAGAUGUGUAGUAAUGAAACUGAUGUGGCUAUCUCAUUUAAAUUGGGUUGAUAGAAUUAAAGAGGAGAUUUUACAUGGACGAUGAUGUAGCAUGUUCAUAUGGCUUUUUUACACAUGUGGUAUGCUUGGUGGAAUUCUGUGAGAGGGAGGGGCAUUUUUUAGCUAAAUAUUUAACGAAAGAGUAUUUUUGAGCCAAGAAAUUAACGAGGAAUAUUUUUAAUUCAUUUCACAUAAUUUAGGAAUAUUUUUUAUCUUUUUCCGAUAAAUAAAAUAAGAGGAGAUGAAAAGUCAUUUUUUCAACCCACAGACUUUUGAUAUGACAAUUCAUUAUGUAACUUCACUGUUUUCUCCAAAGUUUUAAUUAAAUAUACUUAGUGGGUGUUAGUGGGUGUUUGGAAGUGCUUAUAGGUUGGUCAGAGAGGUCACUUAACUUUUGAAGAGUUUUUUAAAUCUAACCUUCAACUAUUCCCACCGUUUUAUCUAUUUAGCCUUCUUGACUUUGUAUAUUUUUUAAAAAAAAAAAAAAUUAUGAAUGUAUUUUACUAGAUUAAUUUUAUUAAUAAUAUUUUAAAAUUUUAAUUUUAAUUAAUGUUAUUAUUUUAUACAGUUAUUUAAUAAUAAGACUCGAAUUCAAAAUUAAUUAAGGAUGAAUGAAUCAUAUCUAUCACACUAAACCCGAGGUGUCCUUCUGUUUGAAAUGUACUUUGUAUUUCUUUUUAUUUUUUUUAUUUGAGUUGCAAUUAUAUUCCUAAACACUUGCUCUUUUAAUCUUUUAAAAUAAUUUGAACAAAAAUUUUUUAUUAUGUCUUUAUUUAAUAAAUGUAUUAUUAUUGAUUUAAAAAAGAUAUAAAUUUAAUUAGGAAUAUAUUGAUAAAAUUAAUUUUAAUUUUAUAGGGAUACAAAAUUUUAAGAUUUUAUAGGAGUACAAGUGUGCCCGACUCAAAUGAAGCAAAUAAAAAGCAACAGAGGAAGUAACUCAUUGGGUUAGGGACUUACUCGUCAUUUGGUGUGAG
rnacentral:lncRNA from 1 species